GGAGUCUGGGCCGUGUCUCAGUCCCAAUGUGGCCGUUCAACCUCUCAGUCCGGCUACUGAUCGUCGGCUUGGUGAGCCGUUACCUCACCAACUACCUAAUCAGACGCGAGCUCAUCUUUCAGCGAUAAAUCUUUGAUAGCUCUAUCAUGCGGUAAAGCUAUGUUAUGCGGUAUUAUCAGUCGUUUCCAACUGCUAUCCCCCUCUGAAAGGCAGAUUGCUCACGUGUUACUCACCCGUCCGCCACUAAGUUACAAAAGCAAGCUCUUGCAACUCCGUUCGACUUGCAUGUGUUAAGCGUGCCGCCAGCGUUCG
rnacentral:rRNA from 1 species